UUUUUAUACGACCGCAAAAAAAUUUUGUGGUCGUAUAUUGGUAUGACGUUGGCGUCGUCGUCGUCUGGCGUCGUCGUCCGAAGACACAUUGGUUUUCGCACUCUAACUUUAGUUUAAGUGAAUGGAUCUUUUUGAAAUUUGACCAUAAGGUUAAAUACCACAAAAGGAAGGUGGGGAUUGAUUUUGGGGGUUAUGGUACCAACAGUUAAGGAAAAAGGGGCCAAAAAUAAGCAUUUUCUAGUUUCCAGACAAUAACUGUGGAACGGUGUAUGGAUCUCUCUGAAAUUAUACUACAAGUUUCCAUACCACAAAGGGAUGGUUAGGAUUUGC